CGUCAGCUCGUGUCGUGAGAUGUCGGGUUAAGUCCCUUAACGAGCGAAACCCCUGUCGUUAGUUACCAGCAAGUAGUGUUGGGUACUCUAGCGAGACUGCCUAAGUUAAUGCGGAGGAAGGUGGGGAUGACGUCAAGUCCUCAUGGCCCUUAUGCUUGGGGCUGCACACGUCCUACAAUGGUAUCCACAAAGGGAAGCGAGACUGUGAAGUGGAGCGAAUCCCAAAAAAGGUACCUCAGUUCGGAUUGCAGGCUGCAACUCGCCUGC
rnacentral:rRNA from 1 species